rnacentral:tRNA from 1 species
GUAUGCGAAAUUGGCAGACGCUCCAGUUGUACACACUGGUGGGGGGGGGAGAAACCCCGUACAGGUUCGAGUCCUGUUGCCGCACA